rnacentral:tRNA from 1 species
UCCCCUGUGGUGUAAUGGGCAACACGGUCCGCUUUGGACGGAUUAUUCCAGGUUCGAGUCCUGGCAGGGGAGCCC